rnacentral:rRNA from 1 species
AUACGUAGGGGGCGAGCGUUGUCCGGAAUGAUUGGGCGUAAAGGGCGCGUAGGCGGCCCGGUAAGUCUGGAGUGAAAGUCCUGUUUUUAAGAUGGGAAUUGCUUUGGAUACUGCCGCGCUUGAGUGCAGGAGAGGUUAUCGGAAUUCCCGGUGUAGCGGUGAAAUGCUUAGAGAUUACACAGAACACCGAUUGCGAAGGCAGCUCACAAAGCCAAUUUUGACGCUGAGGCACGAAAGCGUGGGGAGCAAACAGGAUUAGAUACCCUGGUAGUCCACGCCGUAAACGAUGAUAACUCGCUGCCGGCGAUAUAGUGUCGGUGGCUUAGCGAAAGCGUUAAGUUAUCCACCUGGGGAGUACGUUCGCAAGAAUGAAACUUAAAGGAAUGGGCGGGG